AGGAGGACUUCUUAAUCUUGAUUUUAGUUGCAGGAAAAGUUGUCCCCUAUAUAUUUAAGGCUCAGGCCUGAUCAAAGGUAUCUAGACAUUGAUUGCUACAACUUUUUAUCCCUUGCCACAGCUUGAGAGUUAGUUGGCUUCUAGGAAACCAGAAAUACUACUUCGGCUGGGGAAACUAGAAAAGCAUAUGUGGAUGCAAAGAGGCUGGGGACUUUCUAGAAAGAGUUCUUAUGGAGAAAUACUACUUCGGCUGACAUAUAAAGCAUAUGUUGAGGAUGAAGAGGAUGACAAAGCUGAGGCAGAAUCCACUAACAUUGAUGCUUUAGAUUGUGAAAGAAGAAACAAAGUAUUCUAAAGAAGCACAUAAAGAGUCAUUCAUGGAUGUCUUAGCUACUUUAAUUGUGAGUGAAGAAUUUCGAGGAAUAGUAGCGUCAGAAACCGGAACUACCAAAAUAUUGAAUAAUGCUUCAAGGGUAGAAUCAAGAAUAUCAAGAUCGCUUGGUCUUAAUGAUGAAUCCGCACCCCAAGAUUCAAACAAUAGUUCAGAACAUCCCAAGGCAAACACUUAAAUUGACAGAGGUAACUGCAAGCGAUAAGCUGGAGAGUUUUCGUGCAGUAAAAAAGGUCCUCAAGGGUUAUAUUGCACUUAGGAAUGCUCAAUUUCCUAAUGGAACCAAUGGUAUUUUAUUUUAUUUUUUAAAUUAUGUAUUUCAUUUUAAGUGAAAUGUAUUGACUAUAUUCUUGUAAGAUUGUGUGAUAGGAAGGUACAUGUUCAUUUUCCUACAGGUAAUGCCCUAGACAUUCUUGCUUGAGUUCCACUAUAGAAAAAUGGUCUUGAUUAUCGGCACGGUACAAGCCACGGAAUUGGGUCUUACCUUAAUGUUCAUGAAAGCAAGUAUGUUUUACUACUU